UACGGGAGGCAGCAGUGGGGAAUAUUGCACAAUGGGCGAAAGCCUGAUGCAGCUAUGCCGCGUGUAUGAAGAAGGCCUUAGGGUUGUAAAGUACUUUCAUCGGGGAGGAAAAAACAAAACUAAUAAUUUUAUUUCUUGACGUUACCCGAAAAAGAAGCACCGGCUAACUCCGUGCCAGCAGCCGCGGUAAUACGGAGGGUGCUAGCGUUAAUCAGAAUUACUGGGCGUAAAGAGCACGUAGGUGGUUUUUUUUAAGUCAGAUGUGAAAUCCCUGGGCUUAACCUAGGAACUGCAUUUUGAAACUGAAAUACUAGAGUAUCGUAGAGGGAGGUAGAAUUCUAGGUGUAGCGGUGAAAUGCGUAGAUAUCUGGAGGAAUACCUGUGGCGAAAGCGGCCUCCUAAACGAAUACUGACACUGAGGUGCGAAAGCGUGGGGAGCAAACAGGGAUUAGAUACC
rnacentral:rRNA from 1 species